ACACACACACACACACACACACACAAUCUGUAUUUGCACAAAGAAUCAAUGAAAGGAUGCAACCAGGUGAGCUGAAACUGCGAGCUACAGAAAGGGGGGAGACAGGGUGACAGGGACAGAGGUGGGAACGAGACUCCCUAAACACACCCUGCAAUUGAACUCUUUUAUAUCAUACAUGUAAUUUACAUAUUCAAACAACAAAAAUUAAAUCAAAGAGAGAAAAAUUUCUCAUGACCUAUAUAAACAACCUGAAAUGAAGGGCCUAAUUGUGACACGACGUUGGUGCAGAGCACACAGAGAGAUAAUUCGUUCAAGAGACUGUAAGAAGCUGUGUUUUAACCAUACAUCCUAAGAGGAUUAUAUCCUAACAAUAAAUAAAGCCUCAAACAGAUCUUCUGUACAUUCAAAGAAAAUAGUUAAAACCCUGUAAUGUCAAAUUUGAAUUUAGAAAUUCAUAAUUUUUUUCAGUACCAGAAAUCUGGCUCUGGCCACAGAAAAGAUUUAGAAGCAGCAAUACCUCAAAAGUGAGGCACACCCCAGCCCCCAGCCGUGGUCCCCAAGCCCUGCCUCACUGCAAGGGCCAGGCCUUGAGGGGCCAGCCCGCCACAGGCCUCAGCGCCUUGUGGACGCCACACGGUGCAAGCAAAGAGCUGCUAGGCACAGGGGACAGGGCCACACGGCCUCUACAGGCGCCAGGCCCUGAGGGGACGAAUCAGACUGUGCACAGCCUGGGCCUCUCCCAGAAGCCCGGCUCCCAUCCUGGGCAGGUUAUUUCCCUGCGGGGGUGCUCUUAGUCUCUGUGGAGUCCACCUGCUGGCCCCCAGGUGAGCUGAUGGCCUUGUGAGUGUCCAUGUGGGCCCUUCUUGGGGGGGCACCCUCCCACCCGCUCUUUUGGUGAGCCCGGGGUCCCCCACCACCACACUGUGCAGGCUCCAGGACACGCCCCCUGCCUGUGUCCCGCCACCAGACUGCGUUUGCCCGGAGCAGCUGUGGCCUGGUGUCCCCGCAGCCUGGGAGGGGGCUGUCCUCUGGGUGCUGCACGGAAGGGCAGGCUGACCCACAGCAGGCACUGAGCGAGGGGCGCCUGAGGCCAGGCCCUGGCAGCUCCGUGCCCCUCAGGUCCUCGGCUCCCGCAUGCCCGUGGUGCCUGCCCAGCAGGCAGCCCCAGCUUUGAGUCUCAGGACUGAGCAAGGAACCGGGCCAGGGCAGGACCUGAGUGGCACCAGCUCAGCUGAUCCUGCUCUCGGGUACAGAGGCCAGGAGGGCAGGGGGUGGCUGCCCCGGAGAUGUGGGCACAGCCACCCCCUUCCAGCCUCUGUACGCUUGCCCUUGGCCUUGCCAAAGCCAAGCUGCCAGCAAAGGCCCUUUCUCUCCUACUUCAGACGUGGCCUCACCACUGCCUGCGCCUGCUGCCCAAAGAAGGGAUCGUGGGCCUGCCCUGAGACGUGAGCAGGGCACGAGUUUGUGCCUUCUCCUGCCUGCUCUGGGUCAGCCUGCCCCUCUGUGCAGUACCUGGAGGACAGCCCACUCCCAGUCUGUAGGCAACUGUGCCUGUCCAGGGGCUCUAAGAGGCUCGGGGUGGACCCCCGAUGGCAAAGAUGGGUGGUGUCGAAGGCACAGUUCCCACAGCCGGAGGUGGCUCAGACUCCACAAGAGGUCGGGCAGCGGGUGGUGCCCAGCUGGGCAUCUGGAGGGCUGAGCCCUGUGAGAGGGAAGCCUUAAGUCCCCAGCUGCUCUCCCAGAGUAGGAGGUCAGAACACGGGGCCUCAGCUAAGCCAUGUUCUCAAGCUCACGGGGAGCCAGCUCCACCUCUUCCCUCUCACUGGCCAUAGGAAUCAGUGCUGGGCAGGACGGCACUCACCGCCUGCCAGACAGACACUGGCAACAUGACGCCCCGGAGGGCUCCGCCUUCUGAUGGUAGCAGGGUCGGAACUACGGCCAUACAUGUGCAGACCUGUGAGCGUGCAGAGACCUGCCAGCCUGGCCACCAUCCUGCCCCGGACCCAGGCCUGACUGCUGGGUGGGGCACCGGAUGUCUGCACCCAGCAGGUACCAGGAGCGCCCGUGUACCUGUGAGGGGACUGGAAGGAGCCAAGCCUCGCCAAACCACAGCCAAGGUCCCAGAGUCGAUAACACAUGCAUGAACCAGGCGGCCUCCAGUCCAUUCCGAAGCCAGGGACUUCUAGGACACGGUACGUACAGGAGCCCGGAAGUCCAUGGGAGUGUGAGUCGGCCACUGGCGGAGGGAGGAGUGGGUGGCCGGGUGGGCUGGCUGGGGCGGGGGGAGGCACACAGCACAGCACAGAGCGUGCCUGGCACACAGCGCACGCUCCACCGGUGCUUCCGGAGCCAACAGCGGAGGGAGAGGGAGCGCACACCAGACCAUCAGAGGCAGCCCAAGAAGGGCAGCCGCAGGCGCACGGACUCAGGCCCGGGAACUGCCGGGGCGCCUGUGAGAGGUGAGGCUUGGGUGCGCAGGGGGCCCGGCUCCACCCAGGUGCCCCAUACCGGGGGCCACAGCCCAGAACUGUGGUAGGCCCUGCCAGUCCCACAGGCCAUAGCCAGGGUGUGGGGCCCAAGCCCCCACCAUGCGUCUCACUGACCAAACCAAGCAGGCAGCGGUCACGGAGGAGGGGGACACACCCCACGCAUGUCUGAGGUUCUGGACCCUUGGGCUCAGAGCACAUGUCUGGGGCCCGCUCAGCUCAGGCCUGGGGCCCCAGAGGAAGAUGGGAAACAGGGGCCACAGAGGGGACCCAGGGGCUGGCCACGCAAGCAGGGCAGCUCAGGCCCAGGUUGGACUUCAACAGUCAGAAGCCCACUGGUGCACUGCCCAGCCGCAGCCCUGCCCACUCUCCUCUCACUUUAUGCAAAGAUAAAGGCAGCGCUCCUCAGGUGAUUGGCGGGAAGAGGAGAGCCCCCACCGUGUCCCCCGUGUCACACACAGGCUUUCCCAGCCGCAGCGCCGCAGGCCGCCCAUCCCACGGCCCGGCACCUCGGGCUCCUCAGCACCCAGCCUGGCGUCUGCCAAGUGCUGGUACAACGCCUCCCCCAGGGCAGGACUUCCUGUGGCUCCCACAUCUCUGCUCCCUGGGCACCUGAUGGGAUGGAGAUGGCAGUUUGUCCAGGGGCCUGUUAGUUCCCUGGGGCCGAUCCUCGAAGGAGGGCCAGGCGGGCAGGUGGGUCACAGUGUGGGGCGGGGGCCACACCCCCGUGGGUGGCUCCUCUCAGGCUCUGCUCCUUCUUGGGGGAAGAAGGGGCUCAGCCAUCUCUGUUGCUGCUAUUUAAAUUUUCACUUUCAUCACCAAUAAAAUUAAGUAUUUUUUGUCUACAGGUUUAUUUGUCUAUUUCCUCUUGUGAAUUGCCAAUUCCUGUUUUUUUUCAUUCAUUUACACAUCUUUGCAACUUUCCUGCCCUGUAAGAGCUUCUCGUGUCAUACAUGUAUGAUGCUGACAUAUUCCCCACAAACGAGGGCAGUAAACCUCCAGGUGCAAGCGUGUUACUUCCUCACUAGCCAACAUUUACGUAGACAUGUGGAUGGGCCCACAGCACCACUGCCACGGAGCGCAGCCCUCAGCAGGCCCAGCCCUGUCUGCCGGCCAGAAGCACCCCCUCUCUCAGUGCCCCCCAUCCUGGACACCCCUGGGCCCUGCGGUGGUGGCUGACAGCAUUCCGCCCAAGAGCUCUCUGCACAGCUGGAGCGGGCCUGCCCCCCUCUGCCCCACUGGGAUCCACUGGAAUCCCGGCCACCACGUCACCCGGCCAGCUGGAGCGGGCCCCAGAAGGCUGAAGGCUGAAGGCUGAAAGCCCCCCUGCGACGGCGGCCGGAGGUCACCACUACCUGCUCUGCUGGGCAAAGGAAUGCAGACGCUGGGACACAUGCCGUUUCACAUGCCCCUUCCCUCCUGUACGGGAAAACGGGCCUUCCCUCCAAUUUCACGCCUGCUUGGAGCACACGUUCCGAUGAGUGAAGGGCGAUCCAUGUAACGAGAAAGUGGUUCCACUGAAUUCUAAACAUAAAUAUGGAACUGGACUUGGUAAGAAGACCCCAGUCGACACCCAUGAGCCUGCAGUCUGGUGGCAGUAGGAGCCGCAGCGCCCUGGACAUGGGGGGGGGGCGCUGGCUCACUGGCCUGGCGUAGCCCUCGGCCCCUGGCUGCGUGGGGCACCCCAAGCCCAGGGCAGUCAGCCAGUCUGUGCACACAGAUGCUACGAGCAGGGCUGUGGGCAACGGUGGUCACCGAGCCAAUGGCGCUGCUUCAGGAGGGCAGUGCUGUGUGGGGGCCACGGGGAAGGGAAGGCUGUGGCCCCACCCGUGGCCUCCUUGGGGCCGUGGGAGGUGACUACAGGAAGAGCUCCUUAAAUCCGUGUCUUCCUCCCCUCUGAAAAGACAAACUACACACACAGGCAGAUCUGGGUCUCUUCUGAAGUCAGUAACUGCAGCCUUUACAAUAUUAACACUAAAAUAAAAAGGCCUCAGACUAGCAGGGGCUCAGGGCGGACCAGCGCCCCUCUAAGGCCAGCUGCUCCACC